rfam:Mesorhizobium sp. Root554 contig_1, whole genome shotgun sequence.
GCGGUCGUGGCGGAAUUGGUAGACGCGCAGCGUUGAGGUCGCUGUGGGGCAACCCGUGGAGGUUCGAGUCCUCUCGACCGCA